UAGCUCAGUUAGUAGAGCAUGAGACUCAAUCUCAGGGUCGUGGGUUCAUGCCCCAC
rnacentral:tRNA from 1 species